AUUAAAUCUGCUCCUUCCCUCCAUAGUGCAAAGUAUUACAUAGUUAUAGAUAAGUUUCCAACAUUAGUAUAAGUUGUCUUUGUUCUUAUAUGGGCUCAGGGAAGGCAAUUUUCAGUUAAAAUCAUUCGUGCCUAAGGUGGUCUGUGUACCAUCCCAUUAUUCACUCAUGAUUGGUGGGAGUGUAACUAACUCUAAGGAAAGAGUAAAUAAGUAAUAAUUUCUUUUGAAUUUUAUUUUAUUCGUCUCCUCUGUUAAUGUAAUGAGCCCUUUAUUUUCCGCCUCUAUAGUGGAACGUUAAUUUCGCGUCUAGAAAGGCGGGACUGGUUAGUGAGACGCACACACGGAAGAAAGGAGAAAUUAAUCACAUGUCGCUCUAAAACGCUCCGAAAUCGUUUGUUUCUAAAGGAGAGGAGCGGAUAAUUAAGCACCUAGCUGGAACGGGAACAAGCUCUUACGGUGUUUCAAGAAGAAAAAGGUGAAAGAAAAUAAAAGUUUUUGAAAUAUCA